GCGCUUACUGCUGCGCUGCUGCUCGGUCAGCCAGCGUCUGGGAUGGGAGCGCUCCUGCAUUUUACAUGACUGCGGGGCCUGUUCCUUGCGCCUGUCUGGUCGCGUCACAUCAUGGAGGGUUUCUCGGGGCGGCCGGCCGCCUCUGAGCACAGCCAGGGUGGUGUUUGCAGCACAGCUGCUGCCUAGGCCUCGCUGCGGAGGUGCUGGGCCACGGCCCCGUGGAGGCAGAGCCGCAGGGCCAUCGACAUGUCCUUUGAAAACGGGCAUUUCCCCAACUCAUGCAGGUGGAGGGGAGAGCGAAGCCAAAUGGGACACCGGCCCCCACACACUGCCCCGGCUCCUGCAUUUCCGGAGAUGGAAACCUGGAGAGCAGCUGGGAUCUUGAAAACGUGGGUUGGACUGCGUCACCCCGACCCCUGCCUCAAAGCCCCUCCGUGGUUGCCUACAGCACAGCUUGAAGCCCCUUGGUUCUGCUUCCCGGGCCUGCAGCGCUGGCCCCAGCCUGGCCGAGCGAGCAUUUGUUCACCCAAGACCUUUCCCCUCCUGCCCUCGUGGAGCCUCCACAAGGAGUAAACAACCACUUCUGGUCCCUCAAAGCAUCAACUCUGUGCCUUGCAGACAGCGGACACGUAACACAGCCACGCGGCGUGAACAUGAGCAGACUUCUUUUUUCCAGGAUGUGCACGGUUUCCACGACAAUGCCCACUGCACGCCUUAUGGCCUCACCAGAGACGUAAAGCAGAUGCCAAGAAACUUCCCCCCAAAAUGGGCUGGCUUGCCAAGCCCAGGACCGCCUGUCCAGCUGGGGCUGGGGGCAAGGAUCCCAUUUUCUGUGACUCUCUUUGCUCUGAUGGUCAGGUUCACCGGCCGUACGUGUAAUCUGAAGCAUUCGGUAGCGAUCUAAUUAAAUGUUAACACAUCAUUAAAGUGAUUUGCGAUAAGCACA